rnacentral:rRNA from 1 species
GGCUUGUUGAUUAUAAUCUCAAGUCAGGCCUGCCCACUGAAGUUUUAAAUGGCCGCGGUAAAUUGACCGUGCAAAGGUAGCAUAAUCAUUAGUUUUUUAAUUAGAAGCUAGAAUGAAAGGUUUGAUGAAAAAACAACUGUCUCUACAUAAUUUAUUUAGAAUUUUAUUUUUAAGUUAAAAAGCUUAAAUUUAUAUAGAAGACGAGAAGACCCUAUAGAGUUUAAUAUUUAUUUGGUUAAGUAAUUUUGAAUUAAUUAUAUGAAUAUUUUGUUGGGGUGAUAGAAAAAUUAAAGAACUUUUUUUUGGAAAAAUACAUUUAUUUAUGGGUUUAAGAUCCUAUAGUUAGAUAAAAAGAUAAAACUACCUUAGGGAUAACAGCGUAAUUUUUUUAAGAGUUCUUAUCGGAAAAAAAGAUUGCGACCUCGAUGUUGGAUUAAAAUUAACUAUUGGUGUAGAAGCUAAGAAAGUUAGGUCUGUUCGACCUUUAAAAUUUUACAUGAUCUGAGUUUAAACCGGUGUAAG